GACGAACGCUGGCGGCGUGCUUAACACAUGCAAGUCGAACGGGGCAAAGUGAUAGCUUGCUAUUAUGGAGCCUAGUGGCAAACGGGUGAGUAACGCGUAGGCAACCUGCCCUUCAGAUGGGGACAACAGUUCGAAAGGACUGCUAAUACCGAAUGUUGUAGAGUUUCCGCAUGGGAAUCCUACUAAAGGUGGCCUCUACUUGUAAGCUAUCACUUUACGAUGGGUCUGCGUCUGAUUAGCUAGUUGGUGGGGUAACGGCCUACCAAGGCGACGAUCAGUAGCCGGUCUGAGAGGAUGAACGGCCACAUUGGAACUGAGACACGGUCCAG
rnacentral:rRNA from 1 species